rnacentral:rRNA from 1 species
UCGAGAAUCUUCCGCAAUGGACGCAAGUCUGACGGAGCGACGCCGCGUGUAGGAUGAAGGUCUUCGGAUUGUAAACUACUGUCAGCAGGGAAGAAUAGGCGCUUGGUUAAUAACCAGGCGUUUUGACGGUACCUGCAGAGGAAGCCACGGCUAACUUCGUGCCAGCAGCCGCGGUAAUACGAAGGUGGCUAGCGUUGUUCGGAUUUAUUGGGCGUAAAGGGUCCGCAGGCGGUUUAGAAAGUCAGGUGUG